rnacentral:rRNA from 1 species
UACGAGGGGGGCAAGCGUUGUUCGGAUUUACUGGGCGUACAGGGAGCGUAGGCGGUUGGAUAAGCCCUCCGUGAAAUCUCCAGGCUUAACCUGGAAAGUGCAGAGGGGACUGUUCAGCUAGAGGAUGGGAGAGGAGCGCGGAAUUCCCGGUGUAGCGGUGAAAUGCAUAGAUAUCGGGAAGAACACCAGUGGCGAAAGCGCUCUACUGGGCCAUAACUGACACUGAGGGACGAAAGCUAGGGGAGCGAAAGGG